rnacentral:rRNA from 1 species
UACCAGCACCCCGAGUGGUCGGGACGUUUAUUGGGCCUAAAGCAUCCGUAGCCGGUUCUACAAGUCUUCCGUUAAAUCCACCUGCUUAACAGAUGGGCUGCGGAAGGUACUAUAGAGCUAGGAGGCGGGAGAGGCAAGCGGUACUCGAUGGGUAGGGGUAAAAUCCGUUGAUCCAUUGAAGACCACCAGUGGCGAAGGCGGCUUGCCAGAACGCGCUCGACGGUGAGGGAUGAAAGCUGGGGGAGCAAACCGG